GGGACAGUGUAUGGUGGGUAGUUUGACUGGGGCGGUCGCCUCCGAAAGAGUAACGGAGGCGCGCGAUGGUGGGCUCAGAACGGUCGGAAAUCGUUCGUCGAGUGCAAUGGCAUAAGCCUGCCUGACUGCGAGACUGACAAGUCGAGCAGAGUCGAAAGACGGCCAUAGUGAUCCGGUGGUCCCUCGUGGAAGGGCCAUCGCUCAACGGAUAAAAGGUACGCCGGGGAUAACAGGCUGAUGACCCCCAAGAGUCCAUAUCGACGGGGUUGUUUGGCACCUCGAUGUCGACUCAUCGCAUCCUGGGGCUGGAGCAGGUCCCAAGGGUAUGGCUGUUCGCCAUUUAAAGCGGUACGUGAGUUGGGUUCAGAACGUCG
rnacentral:rRNA from 1 species